GGGUACAUGGUCUAGUGGUAUGAUUUUCGCUUCGCACAUGUGCGACCUUGUGAAAGGUCCCCGGUUCGAUCCCGGGUGUAUCCA